AGGGUCUUUCAAGUUUCAUCAAAGAACAUCUUCGUGAUUAGAUUAAUCAAAAAUUGAUGGAUAAGGAAGUUAAGAGUCAGAGAAAACAGAGAGAGCAGAACUUUCAAGUCUCUACUAUUUGAGCGUAAAUGCCUAAUUCAUUUUUGGGGGAUUUGACUAAUCCUCAAGACCACCUCCAUCACCACCACCAACCACCAUCACCACCACCUCUAUCCCCACCAUCACCAACGCCUCCAUCACCACCACCAUCAGUACUUUCCGCCUUUAAACUUAAAGGAGAACCAGAGCCUAAAGGUGACAUGCUCCACGACCUUCGGGCCCCAGGAAAGGGCUGUAUGACUGCAGCACUUACGUGAGCUCCUUCACCACGUACACCACUCAGAUAUGUCUUGAAGUGCACAGAUGUGGCCAGAAUUUCCAAGUUGUGGCUAUUUUUCCUGCUAAACUAUGCUCAGCAACCAGGAAGGGGAAGCUAGAAGGACCAGUUCAAAGAAAAGUGGCACAGUUACCUAGUGAAUGAGAAUGACUUGGCAGAAUCAUCACUGCUGGCAGGUUUCACUUCGUGAGUUCACCUGUCUGCUCUGAUUUGGGUAUGAUGCUCUGGGAAGAGUGUUCAGAGUGGGCUUUCUUUGCAGGUGCUUCCAUUGCCCACUGAGCUGAAGAGACCAAGGUUCUGUUGUAGCAUCUGGCUUAUGUGGGAAUGAUGGCAUCUUGGAUCCUCGCCUGUGGCCAAUGACUUAACAAUCCUUUGCAAGGCCUCCAGGAUUUGUGUCUUUAAACACCAUUGCUGGCUGAGAAUUAUAUUUAUUACAAGUAAUUCAGAAAAUACACAUGAGCACAACUUAAGAAAACAAAAAUCACCUGUAAUCCCAUCAUUUGGAGAUAGCCUUUCUUGAUAUUUUGGGGUGUGUAGUAUUUACAUCUAUAUGCAUAUCUAGCAUAUAUAUGAGACUCAGACAACAUGUAUUAUCGACGCACCUGAAUUCCAGUGUGACCAUGGCAAGUGUAUUUCAGAACAGAAAGGGGGGUCCUUUGGCCAGAGCACACCCAGCUUUCCAGGAAGUCCCUGGAGUAGCCACACCUAGACAGGCAAGCAACAAACUCAGUAAAGAAAAAAAAAAAAAAGGUGGCCACACACCACCCUGCUGCAGGGCCAGCCCCUCACAAGGCGACAGGAGCUGAGUUCGGCGCUGUCACCGGCACCCGUGCUGACUCGGACAGGGAGCCCCUGAGAUCACACCUGGGCCCCACAGGACGCCGAGCGCAUCGCCAGCUCGUGCUCAGGUGACGGGGAAGCGUGCUGCCUUGGCAGGCAGGACCCUGUGAACAGAAGUUUGCUGACUCUUGAGAUGGUCCAGCCAAGUCACUGAGUAUCCUCGAACUCUCUAGUCCCUGCUGAGGCAAAGCACUCCACAGUUCUUCAACUCUGGCGCUCUGGAGGAGUAUUCUUUCUAUGGCUGGUGGCCAGUCCCUCCUCUAGGCAUGCUGUCUUCCUCUGCCUCCCAGAGAAGCUCAAGCGGUGCACCAGAACUUCAGAUAUGGUCCGCUCAAGCACGCAGGAGUCAUUGUCUCCUGGGGAAGAUCACACAGUGCACCAGAGCUUCAGCCCCAGCCAAACCUGAUCGUGGAGCAGCUUCUGGCCCGCAGGUCGCUGUGUUCCCUCUUCUCGUCUCUUGGCUGGAAGCGCAGAUUUGGGUUCUGUUCCUGACUCAGUCCAAGUGCCAGGUUGGUCAGCAAGAGGAAGGGUCCUUACUGGGGACUAAAGGCCAGUGUACACAGACACCUACCUCCGUUACUUCUCACCUCCACAGCCACCCUGUGCGGCAGACACCACAUCCUGCCUCUUACAGGUGAUGGAGUCAAGGCUCAGUUCACUAGCUUUCCUAGCGCCAGAGAGUAACACGCCCAGGGUUUAGCCCAAAUGAUUUUGAAGCUGUAGCAGAGGAGGUAGGGCCCCUGGACCUCUGCAGCCUGGUGCUCACCCUUCCGUGUGCUGCCCGGAGCUGGGCAAUUGGCCUGAAAUGGCUUAGCCUCAGGACUGAGGCUCUCAUGUCACACAUGCCAGGGAGCCAGUGCAGCCUUCGUGGUGACAAAUGUGGGAGUUCCUUGGGCCCAACACCUCUUCACGAAGUGCCUUCUGGGCCUCUUAGGCCAAAAGCCAGAACCAGGAUGGAGUGACAGAAGCCUCCGAAUAGGUCCAAGGGAGCUGAAAUAAACCUUUCAAGAUGAAAAGUCCUGAGUGCAUCAUUUAUAAUUACACCUGUUUCCUUUGCUCAGUUCUAACAGUCAACCUAUUGACGAGGAAUUUUGCCGUCUUCCUCCUCCUCGUCAUCAUGCUAUCAGGAUCUGCUCCUCCCUGUCCACUCCCCCAAAGUGUUCUCAUGACAGUUGGUUUCACUCCACCACUCAGAGGAGGAGGUGUAUUUCAAUGAGCUCCCUGCUUCCCCUUCUCCCCACACCCUGCCACCACCUUCAUGCAUUUUGCUGAAAUCCUAUUUCUGGGGGACAGAGAUGAAUGCUGUAUAGUUAUCUGAUUAAACUGCCUCUUGUUUAAAUCUAUUUUCACAGAGACUUUUUUUCCUGUAGUAGACAGUCAGUGACACAACACAUUAAAAAUUAUAUCUGUA